UUGACUUUUAUGGAAGCAGCGCUUUUUAUAAUCCAAUUGAUUCGAAGCCCCAUAAAAAGCGAGAAUCGUCCCCAUCCAUCUGCUGUUUCGCACCACCAGCCACCAAAACCGAAAGUCGCUGCCUUCAAUUUUCUCUCUUUAAAAAAACCCCCAAACCAGAGAGAAACUCAAACCCCACCCACCCACAAACAACGCCAUGUCUGGAGGCAUAGCUCGUGGUCGUCUUGCCGAGGAGCGGAAGGCCUGGCGGAAGAACCACCCUCAUGGUUUUGUUGCGAAGCCAGAGACUUUAUCUGAUGGGACGGUGAAUUUGAUGGUGUGGCAUUGCACGAUUCCUGGCAAGACCGGUGUAAGCCCUCAAACUUAUUGCGACUUUGAAUUUUACUGUUUUUAUGUUCUUUUUAUUUUUCUGGUGAAUUGUUUGGAUUUCUUAGUUCCAAUAGAGUAUUGGGUAAAGGGAGUUACUCCAUUUAAGAUGGGUUUUUCUCAUUAUUGAUCCCAGGUUACUAAUUUUCUUAUGGAGAAGACAGGAAAACUUGCCAUAACACAAUCAAGGAAAAAUUCUAGUGCAAAGUACCUUUUCUUAAUUGACCAAAUGACUGAAAAAGUUUUUUUUUUAUUGCAGAAAGCUUCUCCUAGAACGCCUUAAGUUAUUCACUAUACUUACCUAUUUGUUGUUUAUUUUGCCGCAUAGUUUGGUACAGUUGUCUAUCAGUACCAUUGAUGAGGUGAAUCCAUGUUUGAAUGUGUGGUUUCAAUGCAUAGUAUACUAAACUCUGACAAAAGAAGAGCGUUGCUAUAUUUAUUGUUGAGAAUACAAGUGUGCAACAUGAUGUGUUAGUGUUACUUGCAUGAUUCAGAUGAGAUUUAGUUGGAUUGAGCACUUUCAUCAAUUAUGGGUUCAUGGAUUGUAAUGAAAGGUUGAAUGAGUUAUCUUUUUAUAACUCUAU